GUGUUGGCUUUCUCUUCAGAGCUGAAGCACACUACUGGAGUUACUUGAAUAUAGGUUAGAGAGUCUGCAGUUCCCUUGUCAAGAGGAGGAAUGAGAAGUCUGCUUUAGGGAAAAGGAGGAGCAGUGCAUGGAAAUCACACAAGAUUUCACCAGCAUGUGUCACUGUGCAUCCGGGCACCACACUCACCACCAGAGCUGCGUAGUUUGUCCCUGCAGGGAAGAAAGGAAAGGCAGAGAGCAGAAUACAGGAGAUACUGAGAGCAAUUGCUGGGAGCAGCAGCUUGGGUUGUGUGAUGCAAGAGGAUGUUCAAAGAGGAAGGAGAAGCUCUCCCACCCACCAAGCUUUGUGUGCUUGCAAAAUGUGUAGAAGUGCCUGCAAACACACGGGAAAGUUUUACAUUUCUGCUC
rnacentral:lncRNA from 1 species